AGUGAACGCUGGCGGUAGGCUUAACACAUGCAAGUCGAACGGAAGCACAGUACGAGUUUGCUCUUACGGGUGGCGAGUGGGGGACGGGAGAGGUAUAUAUCGGACUCUUCUUUUUCGUGGGGGGUCGCGUAGGGAAGCUUACGCUCGUACAGCAUACGCCCUACGGGUGAAAGCAGUGGAACUUCGGAGCUUGUGCGGUUGGACGCGCCGCUGUUGGAUUAGCUAGUUGGCGGGGUAAAUGCCAACGCGGGCGCCGAUCGGUGUCUGGUCUGGGAGGAUGAUCGCCCACACGGGAACGUGGACACGGUCCAGACUCCUACGAUAGGCAGCAGUGUGGAAUAUUGGACAAUGGGCGCAAACCUGAUCCAGCCAGACCGCGUGGGUGAAGAAGGCCUUCGGGUUGUAAAGCCCUUUUGUGGGGAAAGAAAAGCAGCAGGUUAAGACCCCGCUGUUCUGACGGUACCCAAAGAAGAAGCACCGGCUAACUUCGUG
rnacentral:rRNA from 1 species